UACAGAGGUCCCAAGCGUUGUUCGGAUUCACUAGGCGUAAAGGGUGCGUAGGCGGUCGGGUAAGUCUGAUGUGAAAUCUCCAAGCUUAACUUGGAAAUGGCAUCGGAUACUAUUCGGCUCGAGGAAUGGAGGGGAGACUGGAAUACUUGGUGUAGCAGUGAAAUGCGUAGAUAUCAAGUGGAACACCAGUGGCGAAGGCGAGUCUCUGGACAUUUCCUGACACUGAGGCACGAAAGCCAGGGGAGCAAACGGG
rnacentral:rRNA from 1 species